AGCAGCCGCGGUAAUUCCAGCUCCAAUAGCGUAUAUUAAAGUUGUUGCAGUUAAAAAGCCCGUAGUUGAAUUUCGGGGUUAGUAGGUUGGUCAUGCCUCUGGUAUGUACUGGUCUCACUGAUUCCUCCUUCCUGAUGAACCUUAAUGCCAUUAAUUUGGUGUUUUGGGGAAUUUGGACUGUUACUUUGAAAAAAUUAGAGUGUUUAAAGCAAGCUAACGCUUGAAUACAUUAGCAUGGAAUAAUGAAAUAGGACGUUCGAUCCUAUUUUGUUGGUUUCUAGGAUUGACGUAAUGAUUAAUAGGGAUAGUUGGGGGCAUUAGUAUUCAAUUGUCAGAGGUGAAAUUCUUGGAUUUAUUGAAGACUAACUACUGCGAAAGCAUUUGCCAAGGAUGUUUUCAUUAAUCAAGAACGAAAGUUAGGGGAUCGAAGACGAUCAGAUACCGUCGUAGUCUUAACCAUAAACUAUGCCGACUAGGGAUCGGAUGAUGUUAAUUUUUUAAUGACUCA
rnacentral:rRNA from 1 species